ensembl:misc_RNA 7SK 7SK RNA
GGAUGUGAGGAUGAUCGGGCUGUGAUAUCUGUCACCCCGUUGAUUGCCAGAGCUGAUUCGGCUGAUCUGGCUAGCUGGAUGGUGGCCCCUCACCCCUCACCGCUCCAUGUCCGUCCUUCCUGAAGCUGCACUUGGUCAAAGAGGAUGACCUCCCCCAAAUAGACAGAUCGGUCUUCAGUCAGGGGUAUACGAGAAGCUGCACUCCCCUGCCAAACAAGCUCUCAAGACCCAAAUUAGGGCAUUACCAGGCUUAAUUUCUUUUUCUACCGAUAACACAAACACAUU